UACGUAGGGUCCAAGCGUUAAUCGGAAUUACUGGGCGUAAAGCGUGCGCAGGCGGUUGUGUAAGCCAGAUGUGAAAUCCCCGGGCUUAACCUGGGAAUGGCAUUUGGGACUGCACGGCUAGAGUACGGCAGAGGAGACUAGAAUUCCUGGUGUAGCAGUGAAAUGCGUAGAUAUCAAGCGGAACACCGGUGGCGAAGGCGGCCUUCUGGACAGUGACUGACGCUGAGACGCGAAAGCGUGGGGAGCGAACAGG
rnacentral:rRNA from 1 species